GUUCAAAAUCACCCUUUACUCUCUACUUUAAUGCAUGAAUUGUAUGAAACAAAUCAUAAUGACCUCCAGACCUUAGACCACUUCAUAAGAUGUGUUUCUUUUUGGUCUUUUUAAAACCAAAAUUGGAUCAUUAGAUGAGCUGCUGUUGCAAAAGAAGACACUGAAACAGUGACAGAUCAGACACUGAAAUCAGAUCAGAGAGAUGAGCAAAGACGAGAGUGCCCUUGCAAUGAAGUUUCCAAAUACCACAGUGUCUGAACUGCAAGCCCUUAGAUGCAAAAACCGAACUCAAAGAAAAGUGACCCUCCACAUGAAGAUGAAGAUUUCAAAUUGUGUUUAUUUGUUUAGUUCAGCCAUUUGCACGCUUGAGUUUAUAAAAAAAUUCACUUUAUCAUUUGUCAGUAACUUCUUUUUAUUGUAAAAUUACAUCAUGCAUUGCUGUUCAGUGAAAAAAAACGUAAUACAGGUAUAACAGAAAUGUUUUACAAAGUGAUUUAAGUAUUUUGGUUAAAUGUGAAGUGUUCUUGUUCUGCAUUUCACUGACCUUUAUUUUAAUUUAUUACAAUUCUUUUG